rnacentral:lncRNA from 1 species
AAGAUCCAAUUUGCAACUUGCAGGGCUCAUCCUCCUCCGCCCAUGAUAUGCAAAGAUCAUGAUGACUUGAUGAGUGGAGAAGCUGCUUGCUAAACUUUUGGCGAAUGAUUGGGCUGGCUCGGCCAUGAAGAUGCAACCAAAAGGGCACCUUCUUUUCCCUCCCCUCCCCCACACAUCCUCAUCGCCAGCCAUGUCUUUCACGAAUCCCCUUCCCCGCCUUCAUCUCCCUUUCAAGAAAU